CACGUAGGGUGCGAGCGUUGUCCGGAAUUAUUGGGCGUAAAGAGCUCGUAGGCGGUGUGUCGCGUCGGCCGUGAAAACCUGCAGCUUAACUGUGGGCUUGCGGUCGAUACGGGCAUCACUAGAGUUCGGAAGAGGCGAGUGGAAUUCCCGGUGUAGCGGUGAAAUGCGCAGAUAUCGGGAGGAACACCUAUGGCGAAGGCAGCUCCGCUGGGACGUUACUGACGC
rnacentral:rRNA from 1 species